GGGGUGUCCCCGUGACCGAGGUGAUGUGGCACCCCUGGGGUGAGCGUGAGUGUCCUACUGCUUGGUCCGACAGGGGACUUCCACACUUUCAGUUUAAACAUCCCCCCUUGACUUAGGUGCAGUGAACUGUGCAUGCACCAGAGGAAUGAUUCGGUCACAGAUGCAGCCCGGUGAGGGGACAGCAGGUGUGAGCAGGGGUUCCAGACCCCUACAUACAAAAAAAGCUAUCUGAUGGCAGAAGUGCAUUGCUAUAUUGCUGGAGAAGUUGCAACAAGAUCUCCUAGAAGAGACUGAAAUAGAAAUAUUCAGCUUUGAAAGCUUAAUUAUCCUAGGUGAAAGGGUAAUUAGGCAGUGGUUUCUGAGCAAGGAUGGUGGAACCUUUAUCACUUGGCAUCCUCAAAGCCAGACGAGGUGUUGUGGUGGAAGAUAAGCUUCAGUCCGGCGUGCAGGGUGAAGAGGUAAGCUAUGCGCUCAGGAUGUCAGCCUCAACAGCCAUCUCUCUUCUUGCACCUUAGAGCCCUUGCAGCGGAGCUGCACAGAGCUACAGCUCGGCUGAGGAGCACCUCUGUUGAGCACCUCCAGCAUCUGGAUGACUUUGGCUCAGCACUUUCUGGACAUGGCAGAGAAGGGCUGUUUUGGAGGGGAGCUGGUCUGAGCUUACAGGUUUGAGCGUUGUUCUUCAUCUGCCUCUUUCCACCAGCAGCCCAGUGCAAGAAGUGCCCUCUCUACCAAUGCUGAUUUUUGCACAUCCUGAGGGUUUUUACUCAGAUCUCUCCCGGGGAACCUCAGCAUCCCUUUUCAUCACUAAAUGAAGCUUCAGGAGAGCUUUGCUCUGUGAGUUCAGCCUGAACCACCAGCCUGACAAAAGCUGCUGUCUCACGGACUAGAGAUGGAGAAGUCAUUCAGGAUAAAGAUGAGAGAACCUUUCAGAAGCCUUGAAUCAAGCACUUCUGAAGAGUUUAUAAGAAAUAUCCCCACUUGCCAAGAGUAAAUCUGACAGGUAUCGUACACACACACCUCCCCCCCCCCCGAUGAUGUUUCCCUGCCCCUCACAGGAGGAAAAUAACGAAGCGCUACUGCUGCAGAAAGCAAUCAGAUAAUGCUCGUUUCUAAUUGCUGCUGGCAGGAAAGCCUCAUUGUGCUCCGAUUUUGGUGAAGCAAGUUUUAAUUGCUGAAGUUCAGCCACAAAUGUUUGCUACCUCUUCCCCAAAAGGCUGUAGUUUCACCGAAUGCCAUAGGAGCUGCUGAGGAUUUGUGAGGAAUAAUUCUGCAGCUGGCUGCAAGCAGCUGUGCGCCGUGGCAUGUGAUGGCUGGGCAAGAUGCACCCAAGGAGAUGCAGGUGGGUGGUGGGAACCCCAGCUGGAGGGGCUGUGCAACUGCCAACUGUUUCCAAGAAACACAAUAUUUGGACACCUAAGUACGCCACAGACAUCUUGCUCAGCCAUCAUGGGGAAGGAAUGUGCCCCCUCCCCAGUUUGUUCUUAGGAAGCCUGCUGGGGCCGGCCGUGCCCACCCUCCGGGGACCAGAUGGGCACCAGAAGCAGCAGAAGAAAAGCAGAGCUACCCUGUCAAGAUAUUUCAGUAGAUUUGAAGCAGCUGAGUGGUUUCAUACCAAACGAGCACACUGUGCUGGGGGGCCAGCCGCUUUGAGCCAGAACCUGCAGGCCUGAAGCACCUUCUCCUCUGCUGUCUCUGUGCAGCCUCGCACUUUCCUACCUCUAUUCACCCGCUUUUAAAGUGGGGUGAAUACCCUUGCAGCACAGAUCUGUUAAAAGCAAUGAAGAGAGUGGCUGGCCAGACUCCUAGUUUUGCCUGGUUUUCUGAAAACUGCAGGGGAUUUUUCCUUUCCAUUUAGUAUGGUUAGGUGCAGGAAUAUUAUACAAUUUUUUCCCCACUACUCUGAGAUAAAAAGUCACUUCUUCCUACCUUUAAAACAAUAAAAAUUAAACUAGUUAUUUAAAAAAAAAAAAAAAGGAAAAGAAAAAGGCCAUAAACUGCUUUCUUUUUGUUCCUUUGGUAUAACACUAAAGUGACAAUGGAAAGAGGAAGCGCCUCACAGCUGGAGCCACAACAGGCGAUCCUGUGCUGCUGCUGGCACAUCGUCACCCACUUAUCUCUUAACUUCACCCAUCUUGUGGGUCAACUGCCUCCCAGAGCAGAGGCACUACAGGCCCCUCCGCAGGCUCCAGAAGGGCUCCAGAAAAGGCUGUGUCCCUGCACCAUUUCAUGCUGCUGUGCCCCACAGCUUAAUAGGACCACAGAACCAUUUAGGUUGGAAAAGCCCUUUAAGAUCAUCGAGUUCAAACGUUAACCCAGCACUGCCAAGUCCACCCCUAAACUGUGGUGCUCAGUGCCACACCUACACGUCUUUUAAAUACCUCCAGGGAUGGUGACUCCACCACUUCCCUGACUGUCACAUCAUUUCUGGGGACUUCGCAGUGGAUUUAGUUCAAACCCAGACAAGUGCCAACUGGCUGGAGCAGGAGUUUGCCAGGGCCAGCUCAGUGGGGUACUCGUUGGCACGAGGUUUAAUUUUGGGAAUUCCACAAACAGCACAAGAAAGUGGUGUGAAAUGGUUCUCUCCCUCAUUGGCUUAACUUCAUUCCUGAUUCCAGAGCAGGGGUUUGCUUUAAAGGCAGAAGGAGCAGCGCUGCCAGCAGAUAAGAGUGUUUGGAUCCGGGAUGGGCAAUUUGCUCACCGCAGCCCUUUGGUUGCUUAAGUCAACACUAAACACAGACACACAGCUUUGAAUCACGCCCAGGUGCAACCUUCACUCCUGUAAACCAGCCUGGAGAUGUUUAGCGACCGGGAGAACCCAAACACUUGGAAACAGGUAUCUUCCAAAGCAGCUUUUCUGUUCGAUGUUAAUGCAAAUUCCAAGUAAAUGCUGAUUGUUUCAGAAGGACCUGCCUGGUGAGAUGGUAGAAAUGAUGCUGUGACCCAAAACAAAUGCCAGGCCUUGUUGUAUGAGCACAGAAACCUCCGGUGUCCUCAGCUGGAUCCCGGGGCUGUGGCAGUGGGGCAGAUGCCAGCCAAACACCUCCCAUCCGUGUGAUCCAUCGGCGUGCGGGAGAGCCAGAGACCCCCCGCCACGGCCUUCCUCUGGCGUGUCGGUGAGAACCGGGCAGCUGGGUACCCACUAGGGACCGGCAGAAAGUUAAAAGCCAAAGAAAGGUAAAAAAUAAAGAAAGUAAAAGCUGAGCAGCCCAUCUCUGGGUGUGCGUUACAGGCUGCUGUACAUGAUACGUAGAAUUAAAUUGCUGAAGAACCGGUUCUGGUUUAGGUUUACGUUCCCUCAGUAAGUAAAACAGGGUAAUUUGGCACUUCACGGCCACUUUCAUUUGAAGGUUUAAUGAUGACCGACACCUCUAAGGCUGCAUGCCACUGCUUGCUCUAUUUGUUAGUGUCCUUUAUGUAUUUGUUAAUAAUUUUGAGCCAUCUUUAGUGGCACACCGGUUGCCAGCUGAGGGAGUGCAAAAACUGGCUGAAAUGCAAAAAUUUUCAGUGCUUUUCCUUUAACAUCUUCCACUGUUGAAAGAAGACCUGAUGGAUUAGCCAGGCAAAUGGGCGUUGCACGCAGGUAGGUAAAUACCAUGCUGCUGAUCCUGAAACUCAGAUAAACACUUGUGCCCAGUUAUUUCCUUCAAAAAGACCUCCAUGUGAAGGCGACUCAUCCCAUGUUGUACACUUGAACAUCUUUGCCCGCCAAGCACGCCGUGGUUUGUAAUACUCUGGUCUUCCCAGAUCUAUGGAUGGAAUUAAAGGAAGGUGAGAACAUCCCCCCAGCAGUGCUCCUCAGAGGUGUGUGCAGCUGGUGCUGGUGACUACAAAUAGAACCGAUCGCACGGACUCUGCUGGGGUUCUGUAUGUGAGGUUUUGUGUUUCUUUAAUUGUUUGGGGCUUUUUUCCCACUUGUUCUUCCUUUUUCGGUUUUCAUCCUAUGGCAAAGCAUGGGUUUAGGUUUUUUACUUGGACUGUGCAAACUGACUGGGAGUCUGGCAAACAAAAAAGAGGAAUAAAGAAUUGUGCUACUGG